UUUUGCACUGCACGGUAUCUGCACUCAGCAGUUCUUUCCUGCUGGGUGUUCAAAAGACAGUGCGAUA
ensembl:miRNA predicted gene, 49349